AUGAACGCUGGCGGCGUGCCUAAUACAUGCAAGUCGAGCGAACGGACGAGAAGCUUGCUUCUCUGAUGUUAGCGGCGGACGGGUGAGUAACACGUGGAUAACCUACCUAUAAGACUGGGAUAACUUCGGGAAACCGGAGCUAAUACCGGAUAAUAUUUUGAACCGCAUGGUUCAAAAGUGAAAGACGGUCUUGCUGUCACUUAUAGAUGGAUCCGCGCUGCAUUAGCUAGUUGGUAAGGUAACGGCUUACCAAGGCAACGAUGCAUAGCCGACCUGAGAGGGUGAUCGGCCACACUGGAACUGAGACACGGUCCAGACUCCUACGGGAGGCUGCAGUAGGGAAUCUUCCGCAAUGGGCGAAAGCCUGACGGAGCAACGCCGCGUGAGUGAUGAAGGUCUUCGGAUCGUAAAACUCUGUUAUUAGGGAAGAACAUAUGUGUAAGUAACUGUGCACAUCUUGACGGUACCUAAUCAGAAAGCCACGGCUAACUACGUG
rnacentral:rRNA from 1 species